UACAGAGGUCUCAAGCGUUGUUCGGAUUCAUUGGGCGUAAAGGGUGUGUAGGUGGCGCGCUAAGUCGGGUGUGAAAUUUCGGAGCUUAACUCCGAAACUGCAUUCGAUACUGGCGUGCUUGAGGACUGGAGAGGAGACUGGAAUUCCUGGUGUAGCGGUGAAAUGCGCAGAUAUCAGGAGGAACACCGAUGGCGAAGGCAGGUCUCUGGGCCGAUAACUGACGCUGAGAAGCGAAAGCAUGGGGAGCGAACAGG
rnacentral:rRNA from 1 species